GCGAAAACUUUACAAUGCUGGCAACAGCGAUAAGGGAACCUCGAGUGCCAGGUUACAAAUCUGGCUGUCGAGAUGCCUAAAAAGCAUUUCAUAGCAAGGGCCGGGCAAGACCGGUGCCAGCCGCCGCGGUAACACCGGCGGCUCGAGUGGUAACCGUUAUUAUUGGGUCUAAAGGGUCUGUAGCCGGCCGGAUAAGUCUCUUGAGAAAUCUGGCAGCUUAACUGUCAGGCUUUCAGGAGAUACUGUCUGGCUCGAGGCCUGGAGAGGUGAGAGGUACUUCAGGGGUAGUGGUGAAAUCUUGUAAACCUUGAAGGACCACCAGUGGCGAAGGCGUCUCACCAGAACGGACCUGACGGCAAGGGACGAAAGCUAGGGGCACGAACC
rnacentral:rRNA from 1 species